CCUACGGGGGGCUGCAGUGAGGAAUAUUGGUCAAUGGCCGAGAGCCUGAACCAGCCAAGUCGCGUGCGGGAUGACGGCCCUACGGGUUGUAAACUUCUUUUGUACGGGAGCAAAGCGCCUUACGCGUCCGGCCUCGCGUGUACCCUGUGAAUAAGGACCGGCUAAUUCCGUGCCAGCAGCCGCGGUAAUACGGAGGGUCCGGGCGUUAUCCGGAUUUAUUGGGGUUAAAGGGGGCGUAGGCCGGAUGGCAAGGCUGCGGUGAAAUGGGAGGGCUCAACCCCGGCCCGGCAGUGGGAACUGGGGUGCUUGAGUGGGCGGAAAGAAGGCGGAAUGCGUGGUGUAGCGGUGAAAUGCAUAGAUAUGACGAAGAACCCCGAUUGCGAAGGCAGCG
rnacentral:rRNA from 1 species